CUUAUGGCUGGAACAUACGAUACGGGGACGGGAAACACAGAGAUUAUCGCUCCUUAUGUUUUCGUCCAAUCAGGAAUCAGCGCCGCCAUUUUACAAUUUUAGUUCAAAGCGGAGGAAAUGUUCGGUCAGAAAAUCGAUCGGUAUGUUUACUUAAUGGGGUUGAAGUCCCCAGAAAGUAAAUGAAAUAAUUCUGUUUAUCGAAGAUUGGAAACUUUCCAUCAGAUGCUUUCUUCACAAAUUUCUUUUUGCUUGAGAAUACCAGUAAUGAUGAACAAGAUACUGAGUGUAAGGUCACAAAAGAUACCAUGAAUUUGUCGAUUCAGAUUGAAGGAUUAAAAUAUGUAUUCGUGUCACAGAGAAAAUGAAGUUGGACCUACUUGGGCAUUCAUAUAUCUUAUGAAACAUUUUUUCAAAGCCGCAUGCCUCCAGAUUACCCAAAAUAUUUCAAAGAAAUUACACUUGGAAAAAAACAUACUAAAACUUUAAGAAAAAGUAAACAGAUCAAAGAUUCAAGUGAUAAUUUAUAUCUUAUGUGCAAUUAAUGACUGUAUAUUGCAGUAUGUAUCACCAUAUUUAUAGUGCGUUACUAACGCAGUAGGGGCCAUUCAUGCACAUUUUGACUUCUUUGUGGUAAUUUAUGUAGAUUAUAAGUGCCGAUUUCAAUGUGUCAAGUAUUUCUUUGUUCAUUUCACAAUAUUUUUUGUAUUUGUAUUCCAAUUAUGUUUACAUUUGUACAGCUUAUAUUCAUAAGAUGAAAUAAAUAUUUAAAAAAAAAUUGUAAUGUGUAAUAUAUUGAUAAAGUGUUUUUUAUCAACUAGGUAGUCCUUCAUGCUGCCUAGCCUUUUAAUAAACGAGUAAAAGAAUUUUAAUAAGUCAGUGGUUCAGUAUAAAAAAUCACAGAUAUAUUGUCCACUGGUCUGAUGCAUAUAUAUACAUACAGAAAUGUCACAUAACAAAUGGGUCGAAGCUGGAACUCUAACAAUGGGUAUGCAGGUUGAUGACCAGUAUGACGUGGCCAUUGCAAAUAUGAAUCUUAGUUGUUAUACUAUUUACAGUUGAAAAAGACCACAGAAAGAAACAUUGCAUAAAAAAAGUUUUUCUAACCUUUAACAUUCUUAACUCCAUGUUUAUUCCUUAAAUGUCCUCUAAUACCCGAUACAGAAUUGUAUGACUUAUCACACUGAUCACAUACAUAAGUUUUUCUUUUAUCAUCUUUAGAUUUUACACUUAUCUUAUCCUCAUCAUCAGAAUUUUCAUAUUCACUAGCUGUAAAUUCACCAAGAAAAAAAUCUAAA